CAUGGACACACACAAUUUUUCACUGAAUAAUACUACUCCUUCUUCUUCUUAGCUGUUUCUUCUUCUUCUUCUUCUUAUCAAUAAUGAAGUUUUUCCUUCAUUAACGAACACAUGAUAUAGAUCAAAUUGUGUCACUUCAGAAGAUGACGUCUUAAAGAUUCAUAACAUUGAAAGGAUUUGGUUGAAAUAGAGUUUCUGAGUUUCUGGAUUAUGGUUAAUGCUAUUGCUAAGAAGUGAGAAUCCACAACAUUGACUCUUGAAUUCUCAUCAACACUUGAAUAAAUUUCUAUGGAAGUUUGGCUUUUCCGAGGUUCAAUAGCUAAGAUGAAUGACCCCUUUUAGGUAAUGUUUUCAAUGUUGAAGUGUAAAAGGUUGGGAUUGUGGCGUAGUGGAAACAGAAUGAGCUGAAUUGGAUCGAGUGUUUGAAAUUCUUUAAAACGUUCUUUACAACGUGAACCUACUUCCUGAUAGAAUUUCUUCAUCUCAAUUAGUUCAUUUAAUUUUCUAAAUCGCUAAAGAUAUAUUUAUCGACAUUAGUUCUUUGCUUAAAUGAAGUUCUAUGUUGUUUCAGCACUUCAACACUUUUUGUAAUAGUGUGUGUGAGAGAGUGGAUUGUUCUCUAUGUAUUUUUUCGGUCACACUCGUUUGUAUUUCUACUAUGUUAAAUUACGAAUAAGAUAGUGCAACUUCCUACUUUAUAUUAGUAUAACUUAAUUAUAUGUACCACAAAAGACAGACACCCGCGAAUUUCUAAUUGAAUAUUCAUCCACUUUGUCAUUUCUACUACUUUUAUUCUCUCCCUUCCGAUAAAUUCUUGGUUUGAGGCAUAAUUAAGAUGAGCUUGAAUCUCACGUAGUCUUUCCCUUACUGUUGCAAUUCUGUUGUCCAAGCUACCUCCUUGAUGUUGUAGUAUCUUUGGUGGUUCUUUGCAUAAUUUCAAUCUAGUCCAAAGUCUAAACAUCUUUGUCCCCGAACUGGUUGCUGCCAACUAUGUUCUACAAUCACCAUGAAUUUCUCAUCCUUAGUGAAAAUGUUAAUGAACCUGAAAGACAUUCUUCUCAAGGCUAUAAUUGUGGUGAUUUCCAUAUGGAUUGGGGAAUCAUCUGAGAAGUGUUUUUCCUCGAAUUGAGUUCUAAUGUGACCAUAUUGUGAAAUGCAUUCCUCGUUACAGAAUGCUUUGUCUAUUUUGCUCCAAAUAUGCCUAUUAUUCCAAGUAAAUACUCUUUUGGUUGCUUACAUAUCAGUUAGGAUUAGAGUAUCAAUUACUUGUUGGAAAUCUCUACUCUCACUUCCAUUUACUGGUUGGCCUCAUUUUCUAUCCUCAAAUGAUAAUGGAGAGUUGAAGUUUCCACAUAUGCACCGAUAGGUAGUUAGUUUAGCACCCAACCUCAUCAAACCAUACAGGUUAUUACUUCCAUAUACCAUUGUUACAUCACACUUAAAGUUUGUUCUUCUAUCAAGCACUAUACAAUGGAUGCACUCGCCAUGUGUUGCCUGAACAGUAACCUCAACCUCAGUUGCCUGAACAGACACUCAUGAUCAGUUUCAUAGAGACAUUGUUGUUGAAUUUUUGUUUUCUCAUCCAUGUGAAUUCCAUCUUGGUCGUGAUCAUCUGGAUAUGUUAGUUUAUGUGUUGCUGCUUGAUUUUAUGAGGUUUUUCAGUUUUUAUUGCCUUCAUUCUCUAGACAGGUUGAACGUCAUACUAGUCAAGUUCAUAUAGUUGUAGUUGUUUAUAAAAUCUACUGUUGCAUAUUGGUCAAGUUCAUAUAAGCAUUGUUUGUUCUAUUCGUUGUUGGUCAAAUCGUACAGAAGAUAUGUGAACAUGUGCCAAAAAAGAAAGAGCAAGAGAGUGAAUAUGUUCCUUUGUCUUUGCUUAGAAGAACUUAGGAAUCUGCUCAUAUACCAUCAAAGAAGAACAAAAACUUACAAUCUUGAAAAGAAUUAAAAGUUGAUGGAACCUACGCUUUUUAGUCUUCUUGAGUUCUAUUUAUAAAGGUAAUAAAAAUCAUACAUCCAAUCUAAUUAAUGUGGGCAUCAUAUGUUCAUCAGAAAGUGAACCUAGGCUUUUUAGUCUUCUUGAGUUCUGUUUAGCUCCAUGUUCUUAGUCGUCUUGAGUUUGUAGUUGUUGUGCUCGCCUUAAGCUUUGUAUAUUUAAUUUUUAAUCACAAUAAAGUUCAGAUGUUCAAAAUGUUUUAUAUGUAUGGAUUAGUUAUAUCUUGUUUUGGAGACUGCUGUGUUGAGGGCGGUUUUGAUCUAAUAUAUAAAAAGUACUUUUUAACCAUUUAUGAUAUGUUAAGGCCAUUUUGACCCUUUUCUGUUUUUCUAUUAAAGUUUUUCCCUGGAUCCCUAACUAUUUCUUCCGUGCGUUGCUGCAAACACCAUCUUUAUAGCUUUAUAAUCUAUUAUUUUCCCUGAUGCUAAUUUGAAGGCUCCUGGUUCAAGGUCAUCUUUGUUGUGUUGUACCAACAUGUUGUAAAUGAUUUUAUGCAUUGUUGAAUUUCCCAUGCUUGUCCAAAGUAAAUCAGAUGUGUUCAUGAUUGGCAUAAUUGGUUCAAACUGAAAAGUAUUGUGAUCUGCCAUUCUGCAUGCCAGGUUCAUUCUACAACUUUUCUCUCAUUGUAUUUAUGUGGAGCACGUGAAUUCAAUAACUUUUGUCGAACCUCGGAUAUGAAACUUAUUAAAUAAAUAUAUGACAAUGAACUCAAUUCUUAUUUUGUACGAACUUUUAAUGUCUGUUGUAAGAACUCAUAAAUUUUAAAUCAUGUAUCCUCCUAUGAGGUAAGACUAUAGUCGUGAUUCCUAUCACAAAUUUUGAUAGAUAUAUGUUGGAACACUUGAAAUCUUAUGUUAUUUGUGUUCAUAUGCAGAUCAUGUGAAAUUAGAAGAAAAGAAGGAAGAUCUGGAAAGAAUCGAAUGGAUAAGUUCAUGCAGACUUCUCUACUGCAUAUCUUGGAGAUGCAUUGGUUCUUGAUUAUCACUUCUAGUGUCACUGUCCUCCUUUUAACCAGUUUCCUUGCCACAGUUCCUAGGCCAGUCCUUACGAAUGAUUUUAUCAAGUAUGCACAUGAUGAAGAAGCAGUUAACGAUCAAGAGGAGACGGGAUGGAAAUACAUACAUGGUGAUGUCUUUAGGUUCCCGAAACACAAGUCAUUGUUUGUUGCAACAGUUGGUUGUGCUACUCAGAUUUCACUUUGUUAAUCUCCUCUGAAAUCUGUUGUUCUGAUAAAUUUAGUCUAAUACAAGAAACAUUUGCAUUAUUGUGUAUAGUGUAUCUUGUACAGGACAAUUUUUAUAUUUAUGAUGGCGCUUGUCAGGGUGUUGUAUCCUUACAAUAGAGGAGCUCUAUUCAUUGCCCUGAUUGUUAAAUAUGCACUCACUUCUGGCAUUGCCGAAUACACACCAACCUCUUUCUAUUGCCAACUUGAAGGAACUAAUACAGUAAGUGCUGUAAUAUUCUCAUAAAUGUUGAGAUAUUGUCAUCUAGACAUUUAAUUUGUUGUUUCGUUCAAGCCAUCACUGUAAUGUAAACUUAGGUGUAUCAUGCAUUUUUGUUAUCAUAGUUGAUUAAGCAUAAACUAUUUGCUUGAAAGAGUGAAAACGACAAGGUUCAAAUCCAGGAUUGAGAUUACUGUUAUGGAACUCGAGACAAAGGGGAACCUAGUAUGUUGGCUACGAGUGUAGAAGACCCGGUAACUUUGGUUCAAAUCUCCUGUAUUUCUGCAGGUAGCGUAGCAUGUCUCGGAAAAAUAGUCAAUGUAGUGCAAAUUAUUCCAGACAACAUUGCUAUAAUUUAAGUACACUCAUCUGAAUACGAGUCUUACGCAUAUGUAUGCUUCCACAUGAAGAAGUUUAAUGCAAUGAGAUCUAGAGGGCUAUAUACAACACAAUGGGUUCAGACAUCCACAAAAAUGCCGGUAAUUGAAUUUAAAUUGCAUGUGGCCAAAAGUAAAUUUGAUCUAUUGUAGUGAACGAUGAAGAGUUUUUGUACUAUUUACAUAUACGUUUGAAUGCAUUUGUUUUUUUUGGAAUUUAUUAAUAUUAGAGAUCUUUAAGCAAUCACUUUUUAAGUUUUGAUUGUACAAGACAUGUUUCUCGAAAUUUAUUUGAAAUAUAUAGCUUCGAUUUAACUAUUA